ACGUACCAGCACCCCUAAAUUAAACCAUUCUCUCUUAGCUAAUCAUUUUGUUUCUUAAGAAAAUUAGCAUUAACCAUGGCUGCCAAGCUCACGGCCAUGGCAGUCCACAAUAAGGCUCAAGAUUUUGAUAGCAAAAAAAAAAUAAAUAUAAUCUCCGAGGUGUUCUAAGUGUUUGAGGGAGCAGCAAGAUCAGAAGUUAAAGUUGAAGAAGAUGAAAUGGACAAAUUGUGCAAGUUAUUGGAAGAUCUGUCCUAAUUAUAUUUGAGGUAAGACUUCUUGUUUUGUCAUGAAAUUGGAGUUAAUGAUGUUGUAGUGGAAAAAUUAAAUUGUAUUAAGUGGAAUUGGAAGGAAGAAAAUUGCAUGAUUAAGUGUUGGUAUUGUUGUUGUUGGUAUUUUUAUUGAUGUUUGGCUAAGUUGGAAUUUCGAGGAUUGUUAAGUUUACAGGGGAAAUGCUGCCCGAAUUUUGUUAAGUUUCAUUCGUACUUGGAUUGGUUAGUAAGUGAUGUGGAUAAUCUAACCGUGGCCUAUGUUAUCUUAAUUUUAGACCUGCGAGCUCGAGAAGUAGACGUUGGACAUUAGAUAGAGUUCAAGGUAGACAGGGAGGUGAGCUUGAUCCAGAUUCUUUGUAGCUGUCAGCUGAUUGAGAGCACUCCAUUGUUCGGAGGUGCUUAUGUUUAUUCUUUUGGCUCCUUUAUGUAUUUCGCGCACGACGGAGUCUUGUUCCGUCUAUAUGUAUAAUAUGUCAGUAGAGGCUCGUAGAUGCGCAGUGUGGGUUAGAUGGUCUCACAAGAUUACUAUGUUAUAUUUGUAUAUGUUAUUUUGAUGGCCUAAGGGGCACAUGUAUAAUAAAAUCAUUUGUGUUGUCAAAUGAAAAAUGGUUGUCUUA